UACGGAGGGUGCAAGCGUUAUCCGGAUUUACUGGGUUUAAAGGGUGUGUAGGCGGGCUUUUAAGUCAGUGGUGAAAUCUCCGGGCUCAACCCGGAAACUGCCAUUGAUACUAUUAGUCUUGAAUUUUGUUGAGGUAGGCGGAAUAAGUCAUGUAGCGGUGAAAUGCAUAGAUAUGACUUAGAACACCGAUUGCGAAGGCAGCUUGCUAAACAAAUAUUGACGCUGAGGCACGAAAGCGUGGGGAGCAAACAGG
rnacentral:rRNA from 1 species